rnacentral:rRNA from 1 species
UACGAAGGGGGCUAGCGUUGCUCGGAAUCACUGGGCGUAAAGGGUGCGUAGGCGGGUCUUUAAGUCUGGGGUGAAAUCCCGGAGCUCAACUCCAGAACUGCCUUUGAUACUGAAGAUCUUGAGUUCGGGAGAGGCGAGUGGAAUUCCUGGUGUAGCGGUGAAAUGCGCAGAUAUCGUAAGGAAGACCAGUGGCGAAGGCGGGUCUCUGGACAGUUCCUGACGCUGAGACGCGAAAGCGUGGGGAGCGAACAGG